rnacentral:rRNA from 1 species
UGAGGAAUUUUCCGCAAUGGGGGCAACCCUGACGGAGCAACGCCGCGUGCAGGAGGACGCUUUUCGGAGUGUAAACUGCUUUUCUGUGGGAAGAGCUACGGACGGUACCACAGGAAGAAGCCCCGGCUAACUACGUGCCAGCAGCCGCGGUAAUACGUAGGGGGCGAGCGUUGUCCGGAGUUACUGGGCGUAAAGGGCAUGCAGGCGGUCGUACGCGUUUCGGGUGACAGCGGGUGGCUUAACUACCCGAGUGUUCGAAAGACGGUACGACUUGAGGGCUCGAGAGGGACACGGAAUUCCGGGUGGAGUGGUGAAAUGCGUAGAGAUCCGGAGGAACACCGAAGGCGAAGGCAGUGUCCUGGCGAGUGACUGACGCUGAGGUGCGAAAGCUAGGGGAGCGGAC